rnacentral:rRNA from 1 species
AUGGACCAUGAAACUAAUGCUAAACACAGUGUCCUGGAGCGCAUGCUACUCGAUGCAAGUGCAGAGCCGAUAGGUCUGCCUCUUUCACUUCUGGAAGACAUCACAAAUGGUUUCUCUCAUGAUCGGCAAAUUGGCAGUGGUGGGUUUGCAGUGGUUUAUAAGGGAAUACUCAGGAAUGUGACGAUUGCCGUGAAAAAGUUGUCCAAAACAUUAGAUAUUCACGAGAAACAAUUCAACGAAGAGGUUAGCUGUCUGAUGAAGGCAAAGCACAAAAAUAUAGUUCGAUUUCUGGGAUACUGUUCUGACACACAAGGCAAAAUGGUAGACUUUGAGGGAAAGCUUGUCAUGGCAGAUGUUCGGCAGAGGUUGCUCUGCUUUGAGUAUCUACCUAGAGGGAGCCUUGAUAAGUAUAUCACUGGAUCAUCUUGUGUACUUAAAUGGAGAGAGUGCUAUCAGAUCAUCAAAGAAAUCUGUGAAGGGUUACAUUAUCUCCAUGUGGAGCGGCGUAUUGUCCAUUUGGAUCUUAAGCCUACAAAUAUAUUGUUGGAUUGUAAUAUGGUUCCGAAAAUUGCUGAUUUCGGUCUCUCAAGGCGAUUCUGUGAAAAGCAAAGCCAAAUUCUUACUGCAGAAGUGAAGGGAACUUUGGGAUACAUGGCACCAGAGUUUGUAAAUAGUGGACAAAUUACAUUCAAGUCGGACAUAUAUAGUCUUGGCAUUAUAAUCACAGAAAUACUGACGAGGCAGAAGGGAUAUCGUGAUGUUGAAGAUGUACUUGAUAUCUGGAAGAAUAGGUUGCAGCAGGAAUCACAGAGAGACAUACAUUUGGAACAAGUACGAGUAUGCGCUGAGAUAGCGAUAGAGUGUGCUGAUUAUAACCCGGCAAAGAGGCCAGUUACAAAACAUAUAAUUAAUAGGCUUGAUGAAACAGAAAGUACAAGCAGGUCCACUGAAACUAGUGGGAGUACUUCAUCAGUAGCUCAGGCAGAAAAGGAGUCCAGUGAGCAGCAUCAGUGGAUACCUAAGGUACCAGGAGAGACAAGUGAUGAGACUGUCGAAUGGAGGUGGGCACAAUUUUGA